rnacentral:misc_RNA from 1 species
GAUGAAGAACGUAGCGAAAUGCGAUAAGUAGUGUGAAUUGCAGAAUUCAGUGAAUCAUCGAAUCUUUGAACGCACAUUGCGCCUCCUGGUAUUCCGGGAGGCAUGCCUGUCCGAGCGUUAUUCAAAACAUAAACCCAUCUAGGUUUGCUAUUGAGAGAUGAGCCAGGCCUCAGCCAGGGCUCCCCCUCGAAAUGCAUAGGCGAAGUGCUAAAGCGAUUUAGGUUGUAGUACUUAAUCUUUCUCAACCAAUCUCUCGCUUUGGCUCUUCAGCCGAUCCAACACUUUAUCUGUUGUUGACCUCGGAUCAGGUAGGGAUACCCGCUGAACUUAAGCAUAUCAAUAAGCGGAGGA